UUGAUCCUGGCUCAGGACGAACGCUGGCGGCGUGCCUAAUACAUGCAAGUAGAACGCUGAAGGAGGAGCUUGCUUCUCUGGAUGAGUUGCGAACGGGUGAGUAACGCGUAGGUAACCUGCCUGGUAGCGGGGGAUAACUAUUGGAAACGAUAGCUAAUACCGCAUAAGAGUAGAUGUUGCAUGACAUUUGCUUAAAAGGUGCAAUUGCAUCACUACCAGAUGGACCUGCGUUGUAUUAGCUAGUUGGUGAGGUAACGGCUCACCAAGGCAACGAUACAUAGCCGACCUGAGAGGGUGAUCGGCCACACUGGGACUGAGACACGGCCCAGACUCCUACGGGAGGCAGCAGUAGGGAAUCUUCGGCAAUGGACGGAAGUCUGACCGAGCAACGCCGCGUGAGUGAAGAAGGUUUUCGGAUCGUAAAGCUCUGUUGUAAGAGAAGAACGAGUGUGAGAGUGGAAAGUUCACACUGUGACGGUAUCUUACCAGAAAGGGACGGCUAACUACGUGCCAGCAGCCGCGGUAAUACGUAGGUCCCGAGCGUUGUCCGGAUUUAUUGGGCGUAAAGCGAGCGCAGGCGGUUAGAUAAGUCUGAAGUUAAAGGCUGUGGCUUAACCAUAGUACGCUUUGGAAACUGUUUAACUUGAGUGCAAGAGGGGAGAGUGGAAUUCCAUGUGUAGCGGUGAAAUGCGUAGAUAUAUGGAGGAACACCGGUGGCGAAAGCGGCUCUCUGGCUUGUAACUGACGCUGAGGCUCGAAAGCGUGGGGAGCAAA
rnacentral:rRNA from 1 species